rnacentral:tRNA from 1 species
CCCCAAGUGGUGGAAUUGGUAGACGCAAUGGACUCAAAAUCCAUCGGUGUAACAGCCGUGUCGGUUCGAGUCCGACCUUGGGGACCA